rnacentral:rRNA from 1 species
AUUGAACGCUGGCGGUAGGCCUAACACAUGCAAGUCGAGCGGAUGAGAAAAGCUUGCUUUUUGAUUCAGCGGCGGACGGGUGAGUAAUGCCUAGGAAUCUGCCUGUUAGUGGGGGAUAACUCGGGGAAACUCGGGCUAAUACCGCAUACGUCCUACGGGAGAAAGUGGGGGAUCUUCGGACCUCACGCUAACAGAUGAGCCUAGGUCGGAUUAGCUAGUAGGUGAGGUAAUGGCUCACCUAGGCGACGAUCCGUAACUGGUCUGAGAGGAUGAUCAGUCACACUGGAACUGAGACACGGUCCAGACUCCUACGGGAGGCAGCAGUGGGGAAUAUUGGACAAUGGGCGAAAGCCUGAUCCAGCCAUGCCGCGUGUGUGAAGAAGGUCUUCGGAUUGUAAAGCACUUUAAGUUGGGAGGAAGGGUAUUCACCUAAUACGUGGGUACUUUGACGUUACCAACAGAAUAAGCACCGGCUAACUCUGUGCCAGCCGCCGCCGUAAUAC